GGUGGGUCCUGAUUAUGUGCUGGUGGGUUUGUUUACAUUGUAUCAGAACGGCAAUAAAACGACUGUUUUGUUGCUUAAUUUUUCUCUGAUGUGUCAUAAGUACCAUGCAAAGUAUAUUACAACAAUAUUAUAUUGCAAAAGUCGUGCAAGUUCGUUAAACGGAAUUGUCCUGACGCUGUGCUGGUGAUAAGAAAAACGGUCCUGGUUCUGUGCUCCUAUGUCCUGGUUCUGUGCUUUUAUAUUUUAGUUAAAAGUGGCAUAUAUUCAAGAUCAUUGAUGCUGUACUGUUAUUGACUUAUUAGCUGUUGUCUGCUUUCUUGAAAUUGACAUUGUUGUGAAUGUGUUUACUGUUAUUAUGAGAGAAAAAAUACCCCUAUUUUUUUAUUUUUUUUUUAAACUAACUGUAAUCUUAUUUAUUGGCCUGUUAAUGGAACCCUUCUUGCCUCUUUUAAGAUAAGAAAAUAUGUUUACGAUUUUCGGGAUUACGAUCAUUUUGCAAGAUCACCAAAAUACGUUGUAAUUUAUACAAUACUUAUAUAUAAAGUAGAUGAUGUGGUAUGUUUGUUGUCAAUGGACAAAUUUCCAUAAGAAACCAAAGGAAGUAUGUGUUAACAACCAUACGUCAUCG
rnacentral:lncRNA from 1 species